AAAUAUCAACCUUGACUUGGGUUUAGUGCUCUUGUCUUGGCUUGGAUUUGGCUGUUUGCCGCUCGAAAGAGUCGGCUCAGCUUAAAAGUAUUAGCUGGAUCUGUCUUUGAGACUUGGUUUGACUUGGCGUAAUAAGUUAUUUCGCUGAGGACAAUCUUCGGAUUGGCCGAGUUUCUGGGACGUUUGUCCGCUUUCUAAUACAAGUUCUAGCUUGCUAGACAUGACUUUUUUAUUAU
rnacentral:misc_RNA from 1 species